rnacentral:rRNA from 1 species
AUUGAACGCUGGCGGCAGGCCUAACACAUGCAAGUCGAGCGGAUGAAGGGAGCUUGCUCCUGGAUUCAGCGGCGGACGGGUGAGUAAUGCCUAGGAAUCUGCCUGGUAGUGGGGGAUAACGUCCGGAAACGAGCGCUAAUACCGCAUACGUCCUGAGGGAGAAAGUGGGGGAUCUUCGGACCUCACGCUAUCAGAUGAGCCUAGGUCGGAUUAGCUAGUUGGUGGGGUAAAGGCCUACCAAGGCGACGAUCCGUAACUGGUCUGAGAGGAUGAUCAGUCACACUGGAACUGAGACACGGUCCAGACUCCUACGGGAGGCAGCAGUGGGGAAUAUUGGACAAUGGGCGAAAGCCUGAUCCAGCCAUGCCGCGUGUGUGAAGAAGGUCUUCGGAUUGUAAAGCACUUUAAGUUGGGAGGAAGGGCAGUAAGUUAAUACCUUGCUGUUUUGACGUUACCAACAGAAUAAGCAUCGGCUAACUUCGUG